AGAACGAACGCUGGCGGCAUGCCUAAUACAUGCAAGUCGAACGAACUCUUCGGAGUUAGUGGCGCACGGGUGCGUAACGCGUGGGAAUCUGCCCCUUGGUUCGGAAUAACAGUUGGAAACGACUGCUAAUACCGGAUGAUGACGAAAGUCCAAAGAUUUAUCGCCAAGGGAUGAGCCCGCGUAGGAUUAGCUAGUUGGUGAGGUAAAGGCUCACCAAGGCAACGAUCCUUAGCUGGUCUGAGAGGAUGAUCGAGCCACACUGGGACUGAGACACGGCCCAGACCUCCGUACGGGAGCAGCAGGUAGGAAUAGUGGACAAUGGGACGAAAGCCUGACUCCAGCAAGUGACCGCGUGAGUGAGUAGGAA
rnacentral:rRNA from 1 species